UUGAGUGCCCGGUAAUUCGCCCGACAUCUCAGCCGUUGAAUUGAUGGUGGCAAGCCAUUGUUAGCCAGACGUGAAUCAGUAACCUAAUGUAAAGCACAAACCUUUGACCAUGAAACCGGAGCCUUGAGAAGAGGCUUCUUCGCAGCAUAACGAGGAGGCAAGUACUCAACAAUGUCGAUAUCGUCUUUCAUCACGUUCAUGAAGUGUCUCCAGUCGAAAAUAUCUUUGAAGGUACUGCAAAAAGAGACAGGACACUUGUUCACAUUCCAGUUUCUUUCAUCACAAAUAUGUUGGUUUUUCGUGUAAAAGUGUGAUAGGGAUGCGACCUGGGAUCAGUCCAGAAAGAUUCAUGGUCAAGAAGUGGAAGAACAAGAGUUGCAUUCAUGAUUCUGGCUACUGCAGCCAUGUCACAGAUCUGUUCAUAACGAACGAUCCAAACACAAACAUCCUCCAUUGGCAUGAACCAGAAGAUAGCCGUUGGUUUUCCGGGACAUCCCUAGACAAAAAGGGUUAUAUCAGUUUCCAGGAUUCAGACAACUUCUUUGAAGCUGAAAGCAUGAUUUCCGACGAAAGAGGAAUACAUAGUAACAUACUGAGGUUGUUCUUGGGACGCGAUGCACAUUGGCUAUAAUUUCCGGUUUCCGGUUUCCUCCAGAUUUCUGGAAUCUAUGGAUCAAAAGAGAGAGAUUCAAUCUUCAAGCAUUGCUGAUUCAAAAAGGAAGAGAUUGGAUUUUUACAGUUCCCAUCUCUAAAUCUUUUGAAUGCAAUGCUAAAAAAACAUUAU